rnacentral:tRNA from 1 species
UGGCUCAGUGGUUAAGAGCACUGGCUGCUCUCCCAGAGGACCUGGGUUCAAUUCCCGG